rnacentral:rRNA from 1 species
CGGAGAGGGCGCAUGAGAAACGGCUACCACUUCUAAGGAAGGCAGCAGGCGCGCAAAUUACCCAAUCCUGACUCAGGGAGGUAGUGACAAGAAAUAACAAUAAACCGGCUUAUGCCGGUUUAAUUGGAAUGAGUACAAUUUAAACAUCUUAACGAGGAACAAUUGGAGGGCAAGUCUGGUGCCAGCAGCCGCGGUAAUUCCAGCUCCAAUAGCGUAUACUAAAGUUGUUGCAGUUAAAAAGCUCGUAGUUGGAUUUCUGUGGGGGCGGAGCGGCCGGCCGCAACUCGCGGUUCGAGCUAGCGCUUCCCCUACAUCCUGCCGCGAACCGUGCUACCAUUAGUUUGGUGGCGCCGGGGAUCGGCUCGUUUACUUUGAGAAAAAUAGAGUGUACAAAGCAGGCCACACGCCUUGAAUAAGUUAGCAUGGAAUAAUAAUAAAGGACUUCGGUUCUAUUUUGUUGGUGUUCGGGACUGAAGUAAUGAUUGAUAGGGACAGUUGGGGCGGUCAGUAUUCCAAAGCGAGAGGUGAAAUUCUUAGACCUUCGGAAGACUAACAGCUGCGAAAGCGUUCCGCAAGGAUGUUCCCUUUGAUCAAGAACGAAAGUUGGGGGAUCGAAGACGAUCAGAUACCGUCGUAGUCUCAACUAUAAACUAUACCAGCUAGGGAUCGGCCAACGUUAAAUUAUCCGACUUGGUCGGCACCUUAUGAGAAAUCAAAGCAUCUGGGUUCCGGGGGGAGUAAGGUCGCAAGGCUGAAACUUAAAGGAAUUGACGGAAGGGCACCACCAGCCGUGGAGCCUGUGGCUUAAUUUGACUCAACACGGGAAAACUUACCAGGUCCAGACAUAGUAAGGAUUGACAGAUUGAUAGCUCUUUCUUGAUUCUGUGGGUGGUGGUGCAUGGCCGUUCUUAGUUGGUGGAGUGAUUUGUCUGGUUAAUUCCGUUAACGAACGAGACCCCAGCCUGCUAAAUAGCGCGGUUGAGCUUUGCUCGGCGCGAGCUUCUUAGAGGGACUAUGAUGCGCGACAGCACAUGGAAGUUUGGGGCAAUAACAGGUCUGUGAUGCCCUUAGAUGUUCUGGGCCGCACACGGGCUACACUGGCGCCUGCAACGAGCAUAUCAGCUGGCCCGAGAGGGUCUUGGCUAAUCUUUUGAACCGGCGCCGUGCUUGGGAUUGACCAUUGCAAUUGUUGGUCAUGCAACGAGGAAUGCCUUGUAAACGCGAGUCAUCAACCCGCAUUGAAUACGUCCCUGCCCUCUGUACACACCGCCCGUCGCUCCUACCGAUGAAUGUUCCGAUGAAAUUUUCGGAGAGCGCUUGUGAAGUUGGCUCUGCCUUCCGAGCGAGAGGCUCAAAGUCACUUAAAUCUGAACAUUUCGAGGAAGGAGAAGUCGUAACAAGGUAACC